AGAGUUUGAUCCUGGCUCAGGACGAACGCUGGCGGCGUGCUUAACACAUGCAAGUCGAACGGUGAUGAAAGAGCUUGCUUUUUCUGAUCAGUGGCGAACGGGUGAGUAACACGUGAGUAACCUGCCCCAGACUCUGGGAUAACCUCGGGAAACCGGGGCUAAUACCGGAUACGCGACUCCACCGCAUGGUGAGGGUUGGGAAAGUUUUUCGGUCUGGGAUGGACUCGCGGCCUAUCAGCUUGUUGGUGAGGUAAUGGCUCACCAAGGCGACGACGGGUAGCCGGCCUGAGAGGGCGACCGGCCACACUGGAACUGAGACACGGUCCAGACUCCUACGGGAGGCAGCAGUGGGGAAUAUUGCACAAUGGGCGCAAGCCUGAUGCAGCGACGCCGCGUGGGGGAUGAAGGCCUUCGGGUUGUAAACCCCUUUCAGCAGGGAAGAAGCGAAAGUGACGGUACCUGCAGAAGAAGCGCCGGCUAACUACGUGCCAGCAGCCGCGGUAAUACGUAGGGCGCAAGCGUUGUCCGGAAUUAUUGGGCGUAAAGAGCUCGUAGGCGGUCUGUCGCGUCUGCUGUGAAAUCCCGAGGCUCAACCUCGGGCCUGCAGUGGGUACGGGCAGACUAGAGUGUGGUAGGGGAGACUGGAAUUCCUGGUGUAGCGGUGGAAUGCGCAGAUAUCAGGAGGAACACCGAUGGCGAAGGCAGGUCUCUGGGCCACAACUGACGCUGAGGAGCGAAAGCGUGGGGAGCGAACAGGAUUAGAUACCCUGGUAGUCCACGCCGUAAACGGUGGGCACUAGAUGU
rnacentral:rRNA from 1 species